AAACUUGAGAGUUUGAUCCUGGCUCAGAACGAACGCUGGCGGCAGGCUUAACACAUGCAAGUCGAACGCGUGUAGCAAUACACGAG
rnacentral:rRNA from 1 species